rnacentral:rRNA from 1 species
AACGAACGCUGGCGGCGUGCUUAACACAUGCAAGUCGAACGGUAAGGCCCUUCGGGGUACACGAGUGGCGAACGGGUGAGUAACACGUGGGUGAUCUGCCCUGCACUUCGGGAUAAGCCUGGGAAACUGGGUCUAAUACCGGAUAGGACUCCUGGCUUCAUGGUUGGGGGUGGAAAGCUUUUGCGGUGUGGGAUGGGCCCGCGGCCUAUCAGCUUGUUGGUGGGGUAAUGGCCUACCAAGGCGACGACGGGUAGCCGGCCUGAGAGGGUGACCGGUCACACUGGGACUGGGAUACGACCCAGAGUCCUACGGGAGGAAGCAGUGGGGAAUAUUGCGCAAGGGGCGCAAGCCUGAUGCAGCGGCGCCGCGUGAGGGAUGACGGCCUUCGGGUUGUAAACCUCUUUCAGCUAUGACGAAGCGCAAGUGACGGUAGUAGCAGAAGAAGGACCGGCCAACUACGUGCCAGCCGCCGCAGUAAAAC